CCUACGGGAGGCAGCAGUGAGGAAUAUUGGUCAAUGGGCGUAAGCCUGAACCAGCCAAGUCGCGUGAGGGAUGAAGGUUCUAUGGAUCGUAAACCUCUUUUAUAAGGGAAUAAAGUGCGGGACGUGUCCCGUUUUGUAUGUACCUUAUGAAUAAGGAUCGGCUAACUCCGUGCCAGCAGCCGCGGUAAUCCGGAGGAUCCGAGCGUUAGCCGGAUUUCUUGGGUUUAAAGGGUGCGUAGGCGGCCUUUUACGUCAGCGGUGAAAGUCUGUGGCUCAACCAUCGAAUUGGCGUUGAAACUGGGAGGCGUGAGUAUGGUGGGGGCAGGCGGAAGGCGUGGUGUAGGGGGGAAAUGCUGAGAUAGCACGCAGAACCCCGAUGGCGAAGGCAGCCGGCCAAGCCAUGACUGACGCUGAUGCACGAAAGCGUGGGGAUCAAACAGGAUUAGAGACCCUUGUAGUG
rnacentral:rRNA from 1 species